UGUCUUGCCCAAGUCCGUCCUGCCGCUGGCGUGGGCCUCAGGAUUCCGUGUGUCCCCAAAGCCCAGCUGAGCCACGCUUCCUGCCCGGCUCUGAGAAGAAUGCCUGUCAGGAAGCUCAAUUAUUUCGAGAAUGUGAAAUACAGUAUUUUAAUGGAGCCAUUUUUCACGUCACUCUAGAAGAAAGGAUGUAGCGUUUGUUGUGGUCUAUCUGCAAAUGAGUCUUGUUCACACCGGGGCACCUUCCUGGUGUCGACACCGCGACCUCCUGGUGCUUUUCUCUCCACAAAGCAAGUCUGGCCGCGGCGUAGGCCCCGCAGGUGCCGUCCAGGGAACCGGGGCAGGGCUGGCAGCGGAGGGCCCGGCCGUGGACCCCAUCCCGCGGCUCCGGGGCGAGCCACGCUCCAGUAGGACGUCACGCAGCGGGUGGAAUUUCUGUCUAGGGACCGCGCCUGGUCUUACGGGGAGACCACGACGUCAGCGGCAGGCAGGAGACACCGGUGCCCCUCGUGCUACUGGCCUUCCACCAAGCCGAUAAGGAUUCCACAGCCAUCCACAGCACUGCUCUGGCAGGAAUGCACUAGUCCAUUUAUACAGCUGCCCAGCGUUGAUAACCGGCCGGUUGCUUGUCCACACUGACUCACAUUGGAUCGAAGGCCCUCAUUACCCUCACUGGUUUAAUGAUAUUCUCUGAUUAAACUUGGCCAGCUGGCCAGCCUAGAGGGAGCCUCUGUGGACUUUUCCUAUAUCUCUCUGGGUAGGGACUGACCUGCUGCUCCAGCCUCUUUUGAAAGAAUCCUGUUCAUAUUUGCUUUCCUCCUUUAUAGAGACGACAAACAAGUGGAUCGAAAGUACAACUCAUUUUCCAAAUUCAUCUCAUAAAUAUGACACAACAUUAAAAACACACCAAAAAGACUGAGGAAUUUAAAACGAGGGAGAUUAUGGUGUAGAAGACUGGACUGGGAGUCAGGGCACCCGCGUUCAAGACCCAACUCUUGGAUUCAUAGACCAUGUGAUUUUACCAUUUACCUCUCUGAAUUUCAGAACUGUCAUCUCCAGAAAUAAAAUCCUAUUUAUGACAAAAAAAAUCCUGUUUAUGUCAUUAGUGCAUCAAACAAAAGAAAUCAGGUGAAGUUCCACUGAAUUGGAGGAUCACUUUAGGUUAUGUUAGUAACAUUAGCUCCGUGAGGAGCACCUCAAAGAAAUCAUUGUACCCAUCAGGAUAGUCCUGGGGAUGACUUGGUAACAAGUUCUUCCCCAACCUCAGAGACUUAAUAUAACCCAAACUUCUUUCUUACACUGUAUAUUUGUAGGAUUGGUAUGGCCCUGCUUCACCUUGUCUUUACUCCAUGACCUGGGUGGAGAAUAAAGCCCCUGUGUGGGACAUUGCUGGUCUUACGGAAGAAGGAACAGAGAUGGCAAGCUACAUCCUGGGUGUUAGAGCUUCUCAGUGGCCAAAAUAAAUCAUGCGACCAUGCCUGUCAUUACUGGGGAAGGAGGUGCCAUCCUCCUGCUGGAGGAGCAUCACACGAGGGGCUGUGAGAUGUCUGGCCACCAGCAGCACGGUCUAUAGCAGAACUCAUCCUCCAAAGCAUCUGGGAAAAAAAAAGCUAAAAAAAAAAAAAAAAAAAAAAAAAAGCUUGGUGAUAGGCCUUUGGGCCCAUCUAUGUGGAAGUAUUUUCUCAAUGUUAAGUCACCAUAAAGCCGUAAACAGAUUAAUCAAUCAAGUAUGAGCUCCGACUGUUAAUCUGUAGUCCAGCUACUUCUCACAUGGCUCUGCAGUGUGUUCCAGACCAGCAGCAGCAGGGAAGCACUGAUUUAAUGAUUGAAGGUUCUCCAAACAACACUGGGGAGGCCGGCUAGGCUCCUAGGUGGGGAGCAAAAUACUCAUUCUGCUGAUUUCACAGGCUUUCUGGGGGUUGAAUAUGAUGUCAUGUGUAACAAGACCAUGUCGCUGCCAGCAGGAGCUCCUGAGGAGUAGGGAGUAGAGUUUACUCCCCUUGGGAUCCCCAGCGCCUAGCCCAGGGAGCAUGUAGUAGAAUCUAAAUGAAUGCUGAUGAGAUGAAUGACUAAAUGAGGACACAUGCAAGGAAAUUGAGUUAGGGUAAGAAAAAAAAAGCCCAAAUCUAUAUUUGAAAAUGAUGGUUAAACUCUUCUUAUGGAGUCAGCAUAACCUUAAUUGAGAAAAAUGAUCAAGGUGGAAACAUUACAAACCAACACUUCUCAUGAAAAUGAAUCCAAUAGCCUUAAACAAGGAGCUUUACUCAUGGUAAUGCAGUAGCUCGUAUUGGGCCAACGCUCCUGAAGCAACAAUUAUACACUCUGAAGAAAAUAUUUAAAAGAAUAAUAGUCGAAGACACCUAAGAGCAGAUAGAAGCUGGAGGAGGAUUCACGUUUAGAAGAAAGGGGUGGUGCAAGGUUUCAGGCAUCUGGAAGGCAAGGAUGGCUCGAGCAUCUCUGCGUCCUCUUCACAAGACACAGGCCAGCCCAGACGAGGCAUGCGACAAAGAGCUGUCACACCACAUGAAUGCAGAAGCAAGAGCC